AAUGGCAAGACGGAUAGCACGAAGGCUGUGCAGGAGGCGUGGGCAUCGGCGUGCGGCGGCACCGGGAAGCAGACGAUCCUCAUCCCCAAGGGCGACUUCCUCGUCGGACCACUCAACUUCACAGGCCCAUGCAAGGGCGACGUGACCAUCCAGGUGAAUGGCAAUCUGCUGGCGACCACGGACCUAAGCCAGUACAAGGAUCAUGGUAAUUGGAUCGAGAUUCUACGCGUGGACAACCUUGUCAUCACCGGCAAGGGAAAGCUCGACGGGCAGGGGCCAGCCGUGUGGAGCAAGAACUCCUGCGUCAAGAAGUACGACUGCAAGAUCCUUCCCAACUCGCUGGUGAUGGACUUCGUGAACAACGGGGAGGUGUCCGGGAUCACGCUGCUCAACUCCAAGUUCUUCCACAUGAACAUGUACAAGUGCAAGGACAUGCUGAUCAAGGACGUCAAUGUGACGGCGCCCGGGGACAGCCCCAACACGGACGGCAUCCACAUGGGCGACUCGUCCGGGGUCACCAUCACCAACACCGUCAUCGGCGUCGGCGACGACUGCAUCUCCAUCGGCCCCGGGACCUCCAAGGUGAACAUCACCGGCGUGACCUGCGGCCCCGGCCACGGCAUCAGCAUCGGCAGCCUAGGGCGGUACAAGGACGAGAAGGACGUCACGGAUAUCAACGUCAAGGACUGCACGCUUAAGAAGACGGCCAAUGGCGUCCGCAUCAAGGCAUAUGAGGACGCUGCCUCCGUGCUCACCGCCUCCAAGAUCCACUAUGAGAAUAUCAAGAUGGAGGACUCGGGCUACCCCAUCAUCAUCGACAUGAAGUACUGCCCCAACAAGUUAUGCACCGCCAAUGGUGCCUCCAAGGUCACCGUCAAGGACGUCACCUUCAAGAACAUCACCGGCACCUCCUCCACCCCGGAGGCCGUCAACCUGCUCUGCUCCGCCAAGAUCCCAUGCACCGGUGUCACCAUGGACGACGUCAACAUCAACUACAGUGGCACCAACAACAAGACCAUGGCUGUAUGCAAGAACGCUAAGGGCAGCGCCAAGGGUUGCCUGAAGGCGCUCGCAUGCUUCUAGACCCACCAUUGACCCAUCUCUGUAGUUAUACAAUGUGUUUGGUUGUUGGAUGCUGAGAGACUGGUUCUCAGCUCAGAUGCAAGCUGCGCCUAGCCUGUGUAGGCUUGUGCAAGUACAUUGAGAGCUCUUGUUUGGUUGCUUUGAUUGCAAUUAACCAGGAUGACCAUAGCCCUUGUUUGGUUUGCUGUUUUUAUAAGUUGCAUGAACACAACUUCUGUUUGGUUAACCAGGAUGACCAUAGUCUAUAUAGGUUGGUCGCAAUACCAACUUUGCUUUGUUGUUUUUAAAUUUUAGAUUAAAACAACUCAAUUCAUAGAAGAAUGAACAAAAUUUAUAGAAAUUCAAAUAAAAUCAGUUCACAACUCGGUUCAUCUGAUGUUUCUUACUUUUACAUACUAACAAAAUUUACAACUCAGUUCACAAAUCAGUUCGAUUAAUGUUCAUACAACUCAGUUCAUUAGUUUUCAACUUAUACAUGUAUACAACUCAGUUCAUAUGAUAGUGUCUGUUGGGGUAUGCUUCGUCGCCGAAGAUCCUGUAAGAAGAAACACCUUCGGCAGAUCCUCUCAAAAGCAGUGCCGAAGCUAUCACCCAUAAAGCUUCGGCAUAGUGACAUGUCUCAAGAUGAAGGAGUGAACCGACUUAAAGAUGAAAUGACCAAUCGACCCGUGAUAGCUUAUAUUAUGAUUGUAAGCAUUUGUAAAGGGCAUGAAUGUAAUUUCCCACAGGCUGCGUCCUGUGCCUAUAAAUAGAUGAACAGUACCCCCGUACCCCCGUAUUGUUCACGCAAUCUUGUAAUCGCUUGCACACGACACUCGGAUUAUUGCCUUCUGUCAAGACGAAGGUAUAAAUGUGAUUAAAUGUUAUGUUUUAAUAUUUAAGUUUGUAUGAUGAAAUAUAUUAAUAAGUUUAUGUGUUUUGAUACAUUAUACUUUCAUGUUUCAUAUUUUAUAUAUUUUUUAUCUUUCAUUAUUUCAUAACUUUAAUCACGAAGGUAUGACCUUCGUGACCUUUGUUCAUGACCUUCGUCCGAAGAUCAUUAUACCCUUGGGGAGAUAAUGCUUCAAUGGACGAAGGGCAUUAACAUUUAACAUUUUAUGUUGCCUUGUUCUUAAUUCGAAGCAUUUGAGAACAAGUUCCCAACAUUGGCGCCCACCUCCGGUGAACUCACUUCCACUUUUUGAGCUGAUGGCUUCGUUCAACAACCAAGCUGAAGCUGCUUCGGCUACGAAGCUGGUGCUCCCGAUAACAGGCGGUUCAUCCUCAGAACCGGCCAACAAGAAGCAGAAGAAGGAGGCCCAGAGAAGGGUACAACAUGUUGGGGUGCAGGGACCCUUCAUCAAGUCAAAAUGGUCUCACAUCCCAAUUACCUUCUCCCAAGAGGACCUUUAGCUCAAGGAUUACCCUCACAAUGAUGCUAUGGUCAUAUCUUGUGUCAUCAAGGGAUUUCUUGUUCACAAUGUUCUGGUUGAUAUAAGCAGUGCAGCGGAUAUCAUAUUUGCUAAGGCCUUUAGACAGAUGCCAGAGCCAGAGGAUAAGAUCCAUGAUGCUACACACCCUCUCUGUGGUUUCGGAGGAAGGCAGAUUGUAGCACUUGGCAAGAUCACAAUGCCAGUGACCUUCGGAUUUGUCCACAAUAAAAGAACUGAACAGGUUGUGUUUGAUAUUGUUGACAUGGAAUACCCCUACAAUGCAAUUAUUGGUCGUGGAACACUCAAUGCAUUCGAAGCAAUUCUUCAUCCAGCAUAUCUAUGCAUGAAGAUACCUUCGGAUCAAGGGCCCAUUGCUAUUCAUGGAAGUCAGGAAGCUGCCAGAAAGGCUGAAGGAAAUUGGACAGACUCAAAAGCAAUCCACAAUAUAGAUGGAGCCGAAGCUUGUGAACAGUAUAAGUAUAGAAGAGAGAAGGCUGCUUCGGCUGAUCAGCCGAAGCCCAUGCUUCUAUGUGAAGACAUAGCAGAGCAGAAGGUAUUGCUGGGAUCCCAGUUAUCUGAAGAGCAGGAGAAAACCUUGAUAAGGUUUUUAUUCAACAACAAAGAUGUUUUUGCAUGGUCAGCCAACGAUCUCUUUGGUGUCAACAGGGACGUCAUUGAACAUUCACUCAAUGUCGAUCCAUCCUUCCGACCCAGGAAACAAAAGCUUCGGAAAAUGUCUGACGAUAAAGCCGAAGGUGCUCGGAACGAAGUAAAAAUACUUCUCAGUGCUGGUGUCAUCAGAGAAGUGAAAUACCCAGAAUGGCUAGCCAACACUGUUAUGGUGAAGAAGGCCAAUGGUAAAUGGAGAAUGUGCAUUGAUUUUACUGAUCUGAACAAGGCUUGUCCAAAGGAUGAGUUCCCAUAACCAAGAAUAGAUUCUCUAGUAGAUGCAGCAGCUUCGUCAGAGCUCAUGAGUCUGCUAGAUUGUUAUUCAGGCUACCACCAAAUCUGGAUGAAGAAGGAAGAUGAGUCAAAGACUAGCUUCAUAACCCCCAGUGGUACAUAUUGUUAUCUUCGGAUGUCUGAGGGGCUCAAGAAUGCUGGAGGAAGCUUCAGCAGGAUGACAGACAAGGUCCUUCACUCUCAGAUAGGCAGAAAUGUGCUAACAUAUGUUGAUGACAUUAUAGUGAAGAGCACGAAGCAAGAAAACCACAUUACUGAUCUGCAGGAAACAUUUGCUAAUUUUAGGCAAGCUGGCCUGAAAUUAAAUCCAGAAAAAUGUGUCUUCAGAGUGAAGAAGGGCAAGUUCCUUGGCUGUCUAGUUUCAACGAAGGGGAUCGAAGACAACCCAAGCAAGAUCGAAGCUAUCCUUCGAAUGGAGCCACCAAGCACAAAGAAGGGGGCCCAACGGCUGACAGGAAGACUGACAUCUUUGAAUCGAUUUAUAUCUAGAUCAGCAGAAAGAAAUUUACCAUUCUUUGAAGUACUAAAGUCAGCUGAAGUUUUUCAAUGGGGCCCAACUCAACAAAAAGCUUUCGAAGAGCUGAAGCAAUAUCUGAUCGAUUUAACAACAUUAACUCCACCCGUGCUAUGGGCUCCAUUGCUAUUGUAUGUGGCAACUUCGCACUCUGCAAUGAGUGCGGCACUUGUACAAGAGAAGCUCGAAGGACAAGCUAAAAAGCAAGUCCCAGUAUACUUUGUCUCCGAAGUUUUGAGUUUAUCAAAGAAAAACUAUACAGAAUUGGAGAAGGUGUUGUAUGCUGUGUUAAUGGCGUCCAGGAAGCUUCGGCAUUAUUUUCAAGCAUAUCACAUAAUUGUUCCUUCAUCACAACCCCUGAAGGAUACCAUGAGGAAUAGAGAAGCUACUGGAAGGAUUGGAAAAUGGGCCGCAGGGCUUAAUGAAUUCACUAUUGACUACGUGCACAGAUCUUCAAUUCAAUCUCGAGCGCUAGCAGAUUUCAUCGUUGAUUGGACGCCAGGGCUCACGAAGAGGGGACAAGCAAAGAUGCCGAAGCCUGGACAGUGUUUUGCGAUGGUUCUUGGGGAGCCUUCGGUGCAGGAGCAGCUGCGGUCCUAGUGGCACCUUCAAAAGUCAAAACAUGUUAUGCAGUCAAACUGGAUUUCAGUUGCACAAAUAAUAUUGCUGAGUACGAAGCAAUUCUAUUGGGGCUUCGGAAGCUAAGGGCAAUGGGAAUAAGAAAGGCCAUCUUAAAGACUGAUUCUCAAGUUAUUGCUAGCCAUGUGGAUAAAAGCAGCAAGGCACGAGAUCCGAAGCUUGAAAAAUAUCUGGAUGCAGUUCGAAGGUUGGAAGCUUCAUUCGAAGGUUUUUCCGUCAAGAAUAUUCCAAGAGGUGAAAAUGAGCAUGCAGAUUUGCUAGCCAAAUCAGCGGCUCAGGGGCUCCCCCUACCCUCUGAAGUAUUUUUUGAAAGAAUAAAAGCACCUUCAGUUGAGCUCAUGGAGAGAGCAGUGCUUACUAUUUCUCCAGUACACAGUGAAGACUGGAGAACUGAAAUAAUAUCUUUCCUCCAAGGCAAUUGUCUUUCAAGUGACAAAGUUUAUAACAAGAGAAUGGAGGCAAGAACAAGACCAUAUGUGUUAAUAGAAGGGGAAUUGUAUAAACAUGGAGUUUGUUCACCACUCCUUAAGUGUUUAUCAAGAACUGAAGGUAUGGAAUUAAUGAAAGAGAUACAUGCAGGUCUGUGUGGAUCACACAUUGGAUCUAGGCCCUUGUUGGGAAAAGUUUUUUGACAGGGAUUUUAUUGGCCAAAGGCAGCUUCGGAUGCAGCAGAAUUAGUCCAAAAAUGUGAAGGCUGUCAAAAAUGUGCAAGAGACCAGAAGCAACCUUCAUCUCUCACUCAGUUAAUACAGCCCACUUGUCCGUUGCAAAGGUGGGGCCUCGAUUUGCUAGGCCCACUUCCACCAGCACAAGGAAAUCUAAAAUAUGUUGUGGUGGCGGUAGAGUAUUUUUCCAAGUGGAUCGAGGCAAAGCCUUUAGCCACAAUAACUUCGGUCACUGUCCAAAAAUUCUUUUGGCAAAACAUUGUUUGUCGCUUCGAAGUACCGAAGGCUAUUACCGUAGAUAAUGGAACACAGUUCGAUGAUAAAGCUUUCAAGGAAUUUUGUGAAUAAAUUGGCACGAAGAUUCAUUUUGCAUCGGUCAGACAUCCGGAGUCAAAUGGAAUUGUUGAAAGAGCCAAUGACAUUAUAAUGACGGGAAUAAUGAAGUUAAUCUUCAAUCAGCCCAGAGGAAAGUGGCCAGAUGAAUUGAUCAAAGUGGUGUGGAUCCACAACACAACAAUAUCAAGGUCAACAGGUUUUACACCAUUCAAACUAUUGUUUGGUGACGAAGCAAUCACCCCAGAAGAAGCUAAGGCAGGAUCAAUAAGAACAGUGGCUUCGGUAGAAGACGAAGCUGAUUAUUCUGUGGCAAAAGAUGCUAUAGAAGGGAUUAGGCUUCAGGUCGUGGAGAAUAUCAAUAAAUACCAAGACGAAACAAUAAAAUGGCGUGACAGAAAAGUUCGGCUAAAGAACAUUAAACCAGGACAUUUGGUACUUCGAAGAGUGGCCAACCCAGAUACAGUAGGCAAGUUACAGCUCAAGUGGGAAGGACCUUUUCUGGUAGUAUCUUCGUCAAGACCCGGUUCUUACAAAUUGAAGGAUAUGGAUGGAAACAACAUUCCUAGAUCUUGGAAUGCGGAUGAGCUUCGGCGAUAUUAUGUCUAGCUUGAUGUAAUCUUUUUGUUUUUUUACGGCACCCUUUUCCUUUCCAAAGGGGGAGAAAGGUUUUUAAUGGGGCCAUAACAUGUAAUUUAUCUUUUUCUUAUUCAGCUCUACGAGAGCAAAAUCCCCCAAAUAUGUAAAUGUAAAAACUGAGCAUGCACCAUCGAGUGCAGGGAAAAAGGAAAAAAUAGGGAGAAGCUCGAAAGUCGUCCCUAAGGGGAUGCAGAGCACGACAAAGCUACAAAAAGCCAUUCCUAAGGGAGCGCAGCGUAAGUUUUCUGCUCAAAAGUCGUUCCCAGGGGAAUGCAGAGCUUACAGCGAAAAGUCAACGCUGAUACCGUCGAAAUAUAAGGCGAAGCGCGAAAAGUCAACGCGAUACCGCCGAAAUAGAAGGCGAAGAAGUUCAAAAGAUGUUCCUAAGGGGAUGCAGAACUUACAGCGAAAAGUCAGCGCUGAUACACCGAAAAAUAAGCGGUGAAGCUAAAAAAUAAACGGCAAAGAGACUUCGGUCAUUCCCAAGGGAAUGAAGGCUAUGGUUGUGGCUUCAUAUGCGUGUGUUUGGACAUUCAUUUGCACGACACAUUACAUCAUACAUUUGCAUUCAUAAACAUUCAUUUAGACAUACAUAGGAUGAUCAUCAUCAUAACACAGGCGGAUGCUUCGGCUCUAAAGAUAAGGCUUCGGCAAAGAGAAAAAGAAGCAGUUUCAUGCUUCGUUGUGUACAAAAAGAAGGGAAAGUGUUUUUCGCCUUCGGAUCAAAAAAUGCUAGUUUCGUCCACAGCAAAGCAGUUCAAUACAUGGACAAAAAGGUAAAGAUAUAUUACAAAGUAUGCACAAAUUUACAGAAUUAGUAUCUGAUUCUUAAAUUACAAAUAUUUUUUUACAAUGAUAUUACAAGAUUUUUCUCUAGAAUUUUUCCAGCAAGGUCUUCAGCUUUGACAUCAGUCAGCUUCGGAUCAUCUGAGCUUAGGAUCACCUGUCAAGCUUUGGCUCAUUUUUCUUCAGCAUCACCAUCCUAUACAUAUUAAAAUGGUAUGAGAGAAGUGCAGACUUCAAGGAGAAGGUAAAGUAACAGUCAUAAAUUUUCUACCGGCUUAAGGUGGCUUCGAGCUUCGUCGCCAGCCAUUUUUCGCCAGCCUUUUACCCAAAUUUGAGUUAUGAAUCUGUUUCCUAUACUCCGAGCUAGGCUAGGGAUAUCAAUUAAAUCUAUCGGAGAUAAGCUAAAAUUUGGUCUGUUGACAAUUUUUCCAUGUUCACAGCCAGAUUUUAUGAAGGCAACAGCUGUGCCCCGAGAAGCUAGCAGAGCGCAGAAAUCGGCGUGUCCACCUAUAACUUCGUUGAGUGCAUCAACUUUGCCCUCAAUAUGUUCGAAGGUUUCUAGCAGGUUCUCAACCGAAGGACUGAAUUUCUCAGCACCGGCUCCGACCGAGUUGAAAACCUGUUUUAGCCGCUGCAGGCACCGGUUGCUGAAGUCCACGCAUUUUUCUUGAAGUUCUUUCAGUGAUUUCCGCAAAUUUGAAUUUUUCUCAGCUUCAGCUUCGAGUUUGGCUUCGAAAUGUUUCUUUUCCAUGGAGAGUUCACUAUUCAAUCUAGCAAUUUCGGCCUGGGCUUCCGCCAGUGAACCUUCCAUGGUUUGAAGUACGAAGUCUUUCUUUUCCAGAGUAGCCUCAUGGUCUUUAAUCUUCUUCUCCAGGCCCUCAAUUAUAACUUCGUUCUUUUUGUCCUCGAGGUCUUGUUGCAUCCUCAGGACUUUGCUUAUCAGUAAGCUCUGAUAACAUAAGCUUCAUCAGAAAACAAUCUUCAUAUCAAAACAAUGAAAAGUUAAUAAUUUUACCUUAAAGUUAGCAUAAAAUAGGCUACCGGCGAUAUGUUGUCGUUGAUACCUGCUAAGGUCUGCCUCAACCUUCGGGAGGCCAACACUCUUUGAUAUAGUGCCGACAACCUUUGCCCCAGUGUGGUCCCAAAGACAUCCUAAGCUUUCUUCGUUAACUCCCCCGAAGAGUAGCGCACCUGGUCUAUAUCUGCAAGAUAUAGCAUACUCUUUCAGUUCUUCUUUUUCAGCCUUCGACAAUUCUUUCCCAAGUAUAUCUUGGAAGUUGAAGUCCUCUUCUUCCGAAAUAUCCUCGGCUUUCUCCUUUCCUUUUCCAGCCACUAUGCCCGGGAUCUCUUCAGCGGCUACAGCAGCUUCUUCCGCGGCCGCAUCUAGAAGCAUUGUAUCAAUUUUAGAGAGUGUGGCAUCCAGAUUCACAUCUUCAGCGGUUUCAGCUUCGACACUUUUGGCUUCGGCGUGUGCAGCUUUGGCAGCAGCAGAGAUCACAAUAGCUGGAGUCUUUGACGCCGAUGCUAGCGGCGGCGUCUGCUCGAUAACUUCAACUACACGAAUAAUUCUUCGUUUUUUCGGCUCAUCUGGAUUCUUCGCUGCCGAAGGCUCCUUUUUCUUCUGAAAAAGCUUCGUCAGAUGUGGCCCUAGUGGACUUAUCUUGAUAGGCAAAGAUUCAGUCAUUACCUUUAAAAUUUCUUCUACAUCGAUAGCAGGAGGUGUUGAAGGAGCUUCAUCCUCAAUUUCAGUUGUUUUUCGUUUCAGAGCCGAAGCUUUCUUUUUCUUCAAAGCAGUUAUCUUCGGCUCAGGGCUUAAUUUUCUUUUCUUCAAAGUUUCUUUAUCCUUUUUCACCAAUUUAGUAGCCUCUUUAUCUAGGACGCUAGCAACUCUCUUUCUCUUCUGUCCUUCGGCACCUCUGUCCAAUCGCUCAUAGUCAGGAUACUCAAAGUUCGGAGCAUCCAUCACCCGGUUUAACCUUCGCUUCGGACGAGUGCCGAAGGCUGCAGUCAUUAGUUGAUCUUCUUUUUUAGAAUAAUUCCCAAGGAUCUCGUUGCACAUAACUUCAAUCGUGUCUAACCAUUCUUGGCAAGGUACUUUGAAGUGUUUCUUGAAUUUAAAAUAAUAGGGCAACUGAACAAGUUCCUUCUUUUUAUUUUCCCCUCUGAGCUUCGGCAUGUCCCAUUCUUUCAAAGUUGGGAACACUCUAAAAGCCAGGAAUUCUUGCACUAGAUCCCUAGUACCAAUGUGCUCUGCAAUACUCGAAAUUCGCCUAGUGCAAUUUGGCUUGGACUCCCCGGUUUCAUGUCGCACCGGGGCCUAGUCUCUCCGAAGAUUAAUUCUAAUGGGCUUUGAACCAACUUCUCCUUCUUCUCAUCAACUUUGACAUAAAACCAUUUAGUCUUCCAGCCAGCUGGCCACUUGGUACGAUAGUUGAUAACUGGAGACUUCGCAUCUUUGCGAUAAGCAAAAUUGUAGCAGCCGAAGUUUUCGUGCAGCCCAUCUUCUCUAGCUUUUGUUUGAUAAUGAAGCUCAUGUACUCGGCAGAAGCCUUCGGGAAACGGUUCUACCCCCUGGCUUCGGAGGGCCCAUAUGUAGACGCUAAGCCUAACGAUGGCGUUAGGAGUUAGCUGAUGAAGAUAAAUCCCAAACUUCUUCAAAACAUCAGCAAUCUUCUCAUUCAAAGGAAAUCUUAAUCCUGCUUUGAAGAAGCUUUUAAAGACUACCACCUCAUCCUUUUUCGACUUCGGAGUAACUUCCUCUCCGCCAAAGCGAAUUAGCUCCUUUUUGGCCUCACUGAAAUAGCCUAACUUCAUCAACUUAGGCAUAUCAUCUUCGGUAAUGGUAGACCUCCCAAACUCCAGGUGGCUGGGUUUAGAUGGCACGACACUAUAGUCAUCUUCAGAUUCAUCUUCCUCAGCAUCAACCUGCUCAGCCUCAGCGGUAGGUGCAUCUUCAUCAGAAACAUCUUCCGACACUACUAGCCCCGACCGUUUCAUCACUUCGGAAAUCAGAGCAGUCUUAGCAGUUUCACUUCUUCCCGGUCAUGUGUAACCCUAGCAGUGAAACGUACCCUUGCCAUUUGAUGAUGAAUUCCUCACAAUUUUUUAUGAAAUUGUUGACUUUUUAAAUUUUCCCGAAGCUCUUCCUCUUGUGACGAAGCAAAGUCAACAGCGGUGCUUCGGUUGAGUGCGAUGAACAAGCUUCGGCUAUGGUCAAAUUUUUGGCAGCAAAACAGGGCAAUAGCAAUGAAUGUUGUGGUAACUUCACACCUACCCAUUUGUUUAUAUAGUGUCAUAGGUGGGGAGGUGAAUCGUCCAGUCUUCCGCACCGGACGAACAGUCGCCCGCACUCACUGAGUGGUGGGCCACAGAACCCGAGAAGGUGAAUCGCUAGGACGCGUUUACCCGCUGCAUGGAGGGACCAUCUCGCGCUCGAAAUUUUGUGAUCGAUUCUCGGCAACGAGCUCAGGGAAGGUGUUUUCGGAUCUUCAGCUCUCCGAAGCCUAGGAGACUUUUUCACGGAUCAAGCUCGUUACGAAAAACGAUCUAGCACCGCGAAGGGGCUACUGUUGGGGGUAUGUUUUGUCGCCGAAGAUCCUGUAAGAAGAAACACCUUCGGCAGAUCCUCUCAAAAGCAGUGCCGAAACUAUCACCCAUAAAGCUUCGGCAUAGUGACAUGUCUCAAGAUGAAGGAGUGAACCGACUUAAAGAUGAAAUGACCAAUCGACCCGCGAUAGCUUAAAUUAUGAUUGUAAGCAUUUGUAAAGGGCAUGAAUGUAAUUUCCCACAGGCUGCGUCCUGUGCCUAUAAAUAGAUGAACAGUACCCCUGUACUGUUCACGCAAUCUUGUAAUCGCUUGCACGCGACACUCAGAUUAUUGCCUUCUGUCAAGACGAAGGUAGAAAUGUGAUUAAAUGAUAUGUUUUAAUAUUUAAGUUUGUAUUAUGAAAUAUAUGAAUAAGUUUAUGUGUUUUGAUACAUUAUACUUUCAUGUUUCAUAUUUUAUAUAUUUUUAUCUUUCAUUAUUUCAUAACUCUAAUCACAAAGGUAUGACCUUCGUGACCUUUGUUCAUGACCUUCGUUCGAAGAUCAUUAUACCCUUGGGGAGAUAAUGCUUCAAUGGACGAAGGGCAUUAACAUUUAACAUUUUAUGUUGCCUUGUUCUUAAUUCGAAGCAUUUGAGAACAAGUUCCCAACAGUGUCACACCCAGAUUUAAGGGCAAAUCCAGGCGCUAAUUAAAUAUGUGGGGUCAAGUCUCACACAUAUGGUAACUCAUGGUACAAAAAUGAAUGUCACAUCUUUAAUAUAUAAUUUAGUUCUAUACAAAAUAGUUAAAUAAUUACAUCAUACGAAGACAAUGAUCCAGCAACCACAGUUGACUGGGAGACGACGGCCUAGACCACACACGAACUCAUCGUGGCAUCCUUCUUGCUCCUUAUCUUUUGGUACCUGUCCUUGACCUGGGUGAUGUGAGUACAACAAUGGUGAGCUCACUUACGUUCAUCGCUCAACAAGUUGUGGGGAAUAAUGUGCAUGAGCUCACUUACAGUGGGGCUCAUGUGAAGUGUAAGGCUUACCAAAGGAGAUGGUUAAAGUUGAGCAUUGCUUUUAGAGUUGGUCAAAAAUUUAUUAGCCGUUACUAAGUGUAAGUAGAUACGAACCCAAAUAAAUAAGAGAUCACAAUUAAUAAUAACACCCACAAUGCAAUGCAAAUGACAAAUUAAGUUUAGUUCCAUAAAUUACUCAUGUGAGGGUCCGAGCCGCUCAUGACCGUGAGCAUGGCUGAUGUACCAGUUUUACACUCUGCAAAGGUUGCACAUCUUUACCCACAAGUCGUGUUACCCAUAUGCCACGGGGUCAUGAAUCCCAUACAUCUCUACCGAGGAGGCGAGGCAGGGUAGCACUAUGAGGCCUUUACAAAGUUCAACUAGCUUCAGUAAACCCGCUACAAUUUCUGAGAAGGGCGAUAUAGGAUCCCUCGUUCGAAAAGCCAUCGCAGCAUGAUCGACCCGAGAAUCUCUCUCUACCGCAGCUCCUCUACCCCCCUUACCCCUUUCGGAUAAGGUAGUCCUCCACUAACUUUCCUAAUUAGUCAGCCAAGGGCGUCCCAUACCACCCUUGUGGUAGCACUGUUUUUUCGGGUAGUCGCUCCAUGUUCCAAUUAACAUAAUGAUCUUAUCAUGAACAAUAAUUAAAACAACAACAAAAUUGGAACAUGAUCAUAAUAUAACAUUAAUUUUCCAAAACCAGGUAGAGCAAUAGCAAAUCUACCCAAUAGUUUUUUUGUUUGCAAGGUGUGGGAUAAAUAAUGCUAAGGAAACCUAUUGGGUCCCAUCAAAUUAACCUCAGCAUGUCACGGUGAUUAAUAGGAAACAUUCUUAGGUAGAGAAAAGUGAUCAAGGGCACAACUUGCUUUAACCUUGAGAUUCCCAAGUACUUCUCCAAGUUAAUCUUCAAGUUUCUCGUGACCUCACUGCUACUCGUAGCAAAACAUACAAAUAGGCAAGAAGUUCAUAAAAUAACAGUACACCAAACAUGAGAACAAAUAGUGUAAAAUAUUCUACACGCUGAUACGAGAUCGUAGGUUCGAGAAUCACUCAAAUCGAAGUUACGAUUAAGAAGAUAUGAUUUUCAGAAUAUUUUGAUGAUUAAGUAAUUCAAACUAGGCCUUAGAUUGAUUUUAUAAAUCAUGUGAGAUAUACCUUAAAUAUUAACUCUAAUAUAAGUCAUGUCUUAGUUAAAGAUCAUCUUCUAUUCAAAUAAUAAUUAUGAACAUAUUACUUUAAUUAGAUAGAUUAAUCUACUAUACAUAGGAUAAAUAAGUACGUAAUUACAAAAGAAUUAGUAAUGGAGUGAAAAUUAAUGCGGAGGCUCUAUUAGAACCUUCAAUUAGUAAUAGCAAGAUAUAUAUAAGAUAGUAGAGUAUAGUUUAAAUGUUGGCAUUGUUCAUUCUUUCUUUUGUUAUUUAAUUUAGGCUAUCCACAGUGGUUAGUGGUUACGUCUGAAGGGUCCAAACAAUGCAUGAAGAGUUUGAGGACGGGAAGUCUGCCCUAAAAAUAGCAAUGCAAACACAUGGUGUCCAUGCCAUACAUAUAGCACACUAAUUUUAUCAGUAGAACAUGGUAUUUAUAGGUCCUAGUGCCCAGGCAACAAGAGACACGAAUAAAGCAUCGAUCACAAUAAGAUGGCGUGUAUAGACAAUGCAAUGAGAGCCUUGUUCCUUUUAGCGCUCUUCUGUGUCGUGCAUGGUGAGAAGGCAAAGUCAAAGGACAACGAUGCAAAAGCGUCCGGGCCCGGUGGGUCCUUCGACAUCACCAAGUUGGGCGCCUCCGGCAAUGGCAAGACGGAUAGCACGAAGGCUGUGCAGGAGGCGUGGGCAUCAGCGUGCGGCGGCACCGGGAAGCAGACGAUCCUCAUCCCCAAGGGCGACUUCCUCGUCGGACCACUCAACUUCACAGGCCCAUGCAAGGGCGACGUGACCAUCCAGGUGAAUGGCAAUCUGCUGGCGACCACGGACCUAAGCCAGUACAAGGAUCAUGGUAAUUGGAUCGAGAUUCUACGCGUGGACAACCUUGUCAUCACCGGCAAGGGAAAGCUCGACGGGCAGGGGCCAGCCGUGUGGAGCAAGAACUCCUGCGUCAAGAAGUACGACUGCAAGAUCCUUCCCAACUCGCUGGUGAUGGACUUCGUGAACAACGGGGAGGUGUCCGGGAUCACGCUGCUCAACUCCAAGUUCUUCCACAUGAACAUGUACAAGUGCAAGGACAUGCUGAUCAAGGACGUCAAUGUGACGGCGCCCGGGGACAGCCCCAACACGGACGGCAUCCACAUGGGCGACUCGUCCGGGGUCACCAUCACCAACACCGUCAUCGGCGUCGGCGACGACUGCAUCUCCAUCGGCCCCGGGACCUCCAAGGUGAACAUCACCGGCGUGACCUGCGGCCCCGGCCACGGCAUCAGCAUCGGCAGCCUAGGGCGGUACAAGGACGAGAAGGACGUCACGGAUAUCAACGUCAAGGACUGCACGCUUAAGAAGACGGCCAACGGCGUCCGCAUCAAGGCGUAUGAGGACGCCGCCUCCGUGCUCACCGCCUCCAAGAUCCACUAUGAGAAUAUCAAGAUGGAGGACUCGGGCUACCCCAUCAUCAUCGACAUGAAGUACUGCCCCAACAAGUUAUGCACCGCCAAUGGUGCCUCCAAGGUCACCGUCAAGGACGUCACCUUCAAGAACAUCACCGGCACCUCCUCCACCCCGGAGGCCGUCAACCUGCUCUGCUCUGCCAAGAUCCCAUGCACCGGCGUCACCAUGGACGACGUCAACAUCAAGUACAGUGGCACCAACAACAAGACCAUGGCCGUAUGCAAGAACGCUAAGGGCAGCGCCAAGGGUUGCCUCAAGGAGCUCGCAUGCUUCUAGAACCACCAUCGACCCAUCUCUCUAGUUAUACAAUGUGUUUGGUUGUUGGAUGCUGAGAGAUUGGUUCUCAGCUCAGAUGCAAGCUGCGCCUAGCCUGUGUAGGUUUGUGCUGGUACAUUGAGAGCUCUUAUUUAUUUGCUUUGAUUGCAAUUAACCAGGAUGACCAUAGCCCUUGUUUGGUUUGCUGUU
rnacentral:lncRNA from 1 species